GAAGCACAAAGAGGCCCCACAGAGCAGCUGGUGUCCGUCUUAAACAGAAUAUCGGAGCUGAUUGAGAAAGAGACGGGAGAGUAUCACAAAGCAGACCCGGAUCCGUUUGAUGACCGUCAUCCAGGACGGGCGGACCCUGACUGCAU